UACGUAGGGGGCAAGCGUUGUCCGGAAUCAUUGGGCGUAAAGCGCGUGUAGGCGGCCAGAAAAGUCCGCUGUGAAAACUCGAGGCUCAACUUCGAGCUGUCGGUGGAAACUUUCUGGCUAGAGUCCGGAAGAGGAGAAUGGAAUUCCUGGUGUAGCGUGAAAUGCGCAGAUAUCAGGAAGAACACCCGUGGCGAAGGCGGUUCUCUGGGACGGUACUGACGCUGGAGACGCGAAAGCGUUGGGGAGCGAACAGG
rnacentral:rRNA from 1 species